UACAGAGGUCUCAAGCGUUUGUUCGGAUUCAUUGGGCGUAAAGGGUGCGUAGGUGGCGCCAUAAGUCAGGUGUGAAAUCUCGGGGGCUCAACCCCGAAACUGCACUUGAUACUGUGGUGCUCGAGUACUGGAGAGGAGAUUGGAAUUUACGGUGUAGCAGUGAAAUGCGUAGAUAUCGUAAGGAAGACCAGUGGCGAAGGCGAAAUCUCUGGACA
rnacentral:rRNA from 1 species